AGAGUUUGAUCAUGGCUCAGGACGAACGCUGGCGGCGUGCUUAACACAUGCAAGUCGAACGAGAAUCUGCGGAAAGAGGAUUCGUCCAAUUGAAGCAGAGGACAGUGGCGGACGGGUGAGUAACGCGUGAGAAACCUGCCUUUCAGAGGGGGACAACAGUUGGAAACUACUGCUAAUACCGCAUGACACAUCGGAGUCGCAUGGCUCUGAUGUCAAAGAUUUAUCGCUG
rnacentral:rRNA from 1 species